rnacentral:rRNA from 1 species
CAAUAGCGUAUAUUUAAGUUGCUGCAGUUAAAAAGCUCGUAGUUGGAUUUCGGGUGGGAAUGGCCGGUCCGCCGUUUCGGUGUGCACUUGCUACGCCCACCUUGCUGCCGGGGACGUGCUCUUGAGUUCACGCUCGGGACACGGAGUCGGCGAGGUUACUUUGAGUAAAUUAGAGUGUUCAAAGCAGGCCUACGCUCUGAAUACAUUAGCAUGGAAUAACACGAUAGGACUCUGGCCUAUCUUGUUGGUCUGUAGGACCGGAGUAAUGAUUAAGAGGGACAGUCGGGGGCACUCGUAUUUCAGUGUCAGAGGUGAAAUUCUUGGAUUUAUGAAAGACGAACUACUGCGAAAGCAUUUGCCAAGGAUGUUUUCAUUAA